rnacentral:rRNA from 1 species
AUUGAACGCUGGCGGCAGGCCUAACACAUGCAAGUCGAACGGCAGCACAGAAGAGCUUGCUCUUUGGGUGGCGAGUGGCGGACGGGUGAGUAAUGUCUGGGAAACUGCCCGAUGGAGGGGGAUAACUACUGGAAACGGUAGCUAAUACCGCAUAACGUCGCGAGACCAAAGUGGGGGACCUUCGGGCCUCACACCAUCGGAUGUGCCCAGAUGGGAUUAGCGAGUAGGUGGGGUAAUGGCUCACCUAGGCGACGAUCCCUGGCUGGUCUGACGGGAUGACCAGCCACACUGGAACUGAGACACGGUCCAGACUCCUACGGGAGGCAGCAGUGGGGAAUAUUGCACAAUGGGCUCAAGCCUGAUGCAGCCAUGCCGCGUGUAUGAAGAAGGCCUUCGGGUUGUAAAGUACUUUCAGCGGGGAGGAAGGCGGUGAGGUUAAUAACCUUGCCGAUUGACGUUCCCCGCAGAAGAAGCACCGGCUAACUCCGUGCCAGCAGCCGCCGUAA